GGUCAGCGGCGGACGGGUGAGUAACACGUGGGUAACCUGCCUGUAAGACUGGGAUAACUCCGGGAAACCGGGGCUAAUACCGGAUGCUUGAUUGAACCGCAUGGUUCCAAUCAUAAAAGGUGGCUUUUAGCUACCACUUACAGAUGGACCCGCGGCGCAUUAGCUAGUUGGUGAGGUAACGGCUCACCAAGGCGACGAUGCGUAGCCGACCUGAGAGGGUGAUCGGCCACACUGGGACUGAGACACGGCCCAGACUCCUACGGGAGGCAGCAGUAGGGAAUCUUCCGCAAUGGACGAAAGUCUGACGGAGCAACGCCGCGUGAGUGAUGAAGGUUUUCGGAUCGUAAAACUCUGUUGUUAGGGAAGAACAAGUACCGUUCGAAUAGGGCGGCACCUUGACGGUACCUAACCAGAAAGCCACGGCUAACUACGUGCCAGCAGCCGCGGUAAUACGUAGGUGGCAAGCGUUGUCCGGAAUUAUUGGGCGUAAAGCGCGCGCAGGCGGUUUCUUAAGUCUGAUGUGAAAGCCCCCGGCUCAACCGGGGAGGGUCAUUGGAAACUGGGGAACUUGAGUGCAGAAGAGGAGAGUGGAAUUCCACGUGUAGCGGUGAAAUGCGUAGAGAUGUGGAGGAACACCAGUGGCGAAGGCGACUCUCUGGUCUGUAACUGACGCUGAGGCGCGAAAGCGUGGGGAGCGAACAGGAUUAG
rnacentral:rRNA from 1 species